AGUGAACGCUGGCGGUAGGCCUAACACAUGCAAGUCGAACGGCAGCACGGUAAGAGCUUGCUCUUAUGGGUGGCGAGUGGCGGACGGGUGAGGAAUACAUCGGAAUCUACCUUUUGGUGGGGGAUAACGUAGGGAAACUUACGCUAAUACCGCAUACGCCCUUCGGGGGAAAGCCGGGGACCAGCAAUGGCCUGGCGCUGAUAGAUGAGCCGAUGUCGGAUUAGCUAGUUGGUGAGGUAAUGGCUCACCAAGGCGACGAUCCGUAGCUGGUCUGAGAGGAUGAUCAGCCACACUGGAACUGAGACACGGUCCAGACUCCUACGGGAGGCAGCAGUGGGGAAUUUUGGACAAUGGGCGAAAGCCUGAUCCAGCAAUGCCGCGUGCAGGAAGAAGGCCUUCGGGUUGUAAACUGCUUUUGUACGGAACGAAAAGGUCUGCCCUAAUACGGCGGGCUCAUGACGGUACCGUAAGAAUAAGCACCGGCUAACUACGUG
rnacentral:rRNA from 1 species